GGUGCUGCAUGGUUGUCGUCAGCUCGUGCCGUGAGGUGUCCGGGUUAAGUCCCAUAACGAGCGCAACCCUUAUCGUUAGUUGCCAUCUGGUAAUGCAGGGGACUCUAGCGAAACUGCCACCGUAAGGUGAGAGGAAGGUGGGGAUGACGUCAAAUCAGCACGGCCCUUAUGUCCAGGGCUACACACGUGUUACAAUGGUCGGUACAGAGGGCAGCUACCUGGUGACAGGAUGCUAAUCUCGAAAACCGGUCUCAGUUCGGAUCGAAGUCUGCAACUCGACUUCGUGAAGCUGGAUUCGCUAGUAAUCGCGCAUCAGCUAUGGCGCGGUGAAUACGUUCCCGGGCCUU
rnacentral:rRNA from 1 species